AUUGAACGCUGGCGGCAGGCCUAACACAUGCAAGUCGAGCGGAUGAAGGGAGCUUGCUCCUGGAUUCAGCGGCGGACGGGUGAGUAAUGCCUAGGAAUCUGCCUGGUAGUGGGGGAUAACGUCCGGAAACGGGCGCUAAUACCGCAUACGUCCUGAGGGAGAAAGUGGGGGAUCUUCGGACCUCACGCUAUCAGAUGAGCCUAGGUCGGAUUAGCUAGUUGGUGGGGUAAAGGCCUACCAAGGCGACGAUCCGUAACUGGUCUGAGAGGAUGAUCAGUCACAAGGGAACUGAGACACGGUCCAGACUCCUAAGGGAGGCAGCAGUGGGGAAUAUUGGACAAUGGGCGAAAGCCUGAUCCAGCCAUGCCGCGUGUGUGAAGAAGGUCUUCGGAUUGUAAAGCACGUUAAGUUGGGAGGAAGGGCAGUAAGUUAAUACCUUGCUGUUUUGACGUUACCAACAGAAUAAGCACCGGCUAACUUCGUG
rnacentral:rRNA from 1 species